GAACUGAAUAUCUGAGAGACACCAUGAUCAGGCAAGUUGUUUUUCCAGGGCGAGGCUCAUCCCCCGCACUCCAGGUGUGCUGACCCCUGCAAUUUCCCCAAAUGUGGGAAACUCAACUGCAUAAUUUGUGGUUGUGGGGUCUGCUUUCAUGCUCUCCCCUG
rnacentral:snRNA from 1 species